GACGAACGCUGGUGGCGUGCCUAAUACAUGCAAGUCGAACGGAGAUUGCAGUAAUGUAAUCUUAGUGGCGAACGGGGUGAGUAACGCGUAGACAACCUGCCUCAAAUUUGGGGACAACACAGCGAAAGUGGUGCUAAUACCGGAUAAUCUGAAUUUUGUACAUGCAAAAUACAACAAAGGCGGCUUCUCAAAAUGUUGUCGCUAUGAGAAGGGUCUGCGUCUGAUUAGCUAGUUGGUGGGGUAAGGGCGCUUACCAAAGAUGAUGAUCAGUAGCCGCUCUAAGAGGAUGAACGGCCACACGGGGACUGAAACACGGCCCAGACUCCUACGGGAGGCGGCAGCAGUGGGGGGAAUCUUCCGCAAUGGACGAAAGUCUGACGGAGCAACGCUACGUGAGUGAAGAAGGCCUUUGGGUCGUAAAGCUCUGUUAUCCGGGAAGAAUAAAUUUAAGUUUAAGAGACAUAAGAAAUGACGGUACCGGAGUAGGAAGCCAUGGCUAAUUACGUGCCAGCAGCCGCGGUAAGAC
rnacentral:rRNA from 1 species